AUAUAAUAUAAAUAGUGUUUAUUUAUUAAAAUUCUAUAGGGUCUUAUCGUCCCAUAAAAAAAUUUUAACAUUUUUACUAAAAUUUUAAAUUUAUAAAAUAAAUAUAAGACAGUAUAUAUUUCAUUAAUCCUUUCAUUCUAGAUUUCAUUUAAAAAUCAAUUGAUUAUGCUACCUUUGUACAGCCAGUUAUACUGCAGCCAUUUAAUUUAGUCAUUGGGCAGAUUGACUUAAAAUUAUUUUCAAUAAGACAUGUUUUUGAUAAACAAGUGACUAUAUUUAUUUUGCCUAGUUCCUUAUAUUUAUAU